CGCGUGUACUGGUCCGGCCGGGCCUUUCCCUCUGUGGAACCCCAUGCCCUUCACUGGGUGUGGCGGGGAAACAGGACUUUUACUUUGAAAAAAUUAGAGUGCUCCAGGCAGGCCUAUGCUCGAAUACAUUAGCAUGGAAUAAUAGAAUAGGACGUGUGGUUCUAUUUUGUUGGUUUCUAGGACCGCCGUAAUGAUUAAUAGGGACAGUCGGGGGCAUCAGUAUUCAAUUGUCAGAGGUGAAAUUCUUGGAUUUAUUGAAGACUAACUACUGCGAAAGCAUUUGCCAAGGAUGUUUUCAUUAAUCAGGAACGAAAGUUAGGGGAUCGAAGACGAUCAGAUACCGUCGUAGUCUUAACCAUAAACUAUGCCGACUAGGGAUCGGACGGUGUUAUUUUUUGACCCGUUCGGCACCUUACGAGAAAUCAAAGUGCUUGGGCUCCAGGGGGAGUAUGGUCGCAAGGCUGAAACUUAAAGAAAUUGACGGAAGGGCACCACCAGGGGUGGAGCCUGCGGCUUAAUUUGACUCAACACGGGGAAACUCACCAGGUCCAGACACAAUGAGGAUUGACAGAUUGAGAGCUCUUUCUUGAUUUUGUGGGUGGUGGUGCAUGGCCGUUCUUAGUUGGUGGAGUGAUUUGUCUGCUUAAUUGCGAUAACGAACGAGACCUUAACCUGCUAAAUAGCCCGUAUUGCUUUGGCAGUACGCUGGCUUCUUAGAGGGACUAUCGG
rnacentral:rRNA from 1 species